AGCGACAAGCACAAGAGUAGGUAGAGGAGGACAGACAGGUCAGAGGGAGGAACAGGGAGAAAGGGUGAUCUUCGGGGAGCCACGUGGUGCGGCAUGCGCGGGACAAUCAAUGCAGUGACGUCAUCACCACCGUUAACCCGACCAAUCACGGAUCCGCUCCAUUCAAACCCGCCAGCCUCGGGGCCUCCAAGUGGAAACUCGGCGAGUUCCAUCGGACUUUGGCCCGACUGCAGUUCAGCCUCGAUCACUGAGAGGCGCGAAUUCGAGCGGUCGGAUGCGCUCCGCACUGCGUACCGUUCACGUCGCUUUCGACAAACGAUUCUUCACAGAGAAUCAUCGAGUCCAUCCAUGACAACGCAUCUUGGGAUCACUAAUGGUAUCACGGCCCGCGAUCGAAUCCUCAGGUGGCGUGACAGAGCUGGCAAAUUGCUUGCUGGCUCUUUGCUUACCUGAGAACGAGAAACCAUGGUGACUAAUGGUCCAGAAGCAGGGACGAGUUCUCACAAGUCGUUGGAGAACGAAACAUCCUGUGCUUGGCAUCUGGACCCAACGAUGAUGGUGCACGAGGAAAUCCUGCGAGGAGAAGCAAUAAAACUGGUGACAGUUCUGGUGAUGGUUCUGACUUAGCGGAGAAAUGACGAAGAGAGAGAAUUAUUUGACCUAUCGUGACCUGUUGAUAACUUAUCUGUAUAAGUGCGCUUAUCAACGUGGUAGUUUCGUAUGCGUGCACCAUCGGCAAGAUCCUAUGAAAUUUGAAGCUGGAUGGUAUUCGUGUCCAACAAGUGGGUCUAUCACCCCGAGAAUAACUGGAGAGCGCUGACAAACCGAUCGUCGAUGGAUCAGAGCUAUAUAAAUAAAUACUUCAGUAAUAUAACUAUAACAGUAACAUAAUAUAUAACUAUCAAUGGACAAACAGGAAAAAUUAUCACAUUCAGAUGGAGAUAAAAAAUAUUUGUUAAAUAAUUUCAACUUCCGCUAUACCAUGCGGAAUCACGUAUAUGUAACACAUGUUUGUAAGGAACUAAUGUCACAUAUGUAUAACGACGAUAUUUUUACAUUUUAUUUUAUUUUUAUAAAGAUAAAGAAAGAUCUUAUCAAUAACAAAAAUUUUAAAAAUGUAUCUUGGUCUCUGGUGAACAAUUCUCCACCGCAAUGGUAAUAGCGAAUGUAUUUAAUAAUAAUUAAUAUAUCCUUUAAAAUGUAUUAAUGUUUUUUCAAUUUGGUUUUUGCUGUCAAUCUAGACAUCAAAAUAUACGCUGACACUAGAUUUAAAAGUUCGAUGUAAAAAAGUAUCCAAUCCAUAAAAUUGUAAUAUUUAACACGUAUUUGCCAUGUCGUCAGCCUCAAUAAUUUUUUCUUAAAUUUUAAAUAAAAAUAUCACAGUAUACAUGUA
rnacentral:lncRNA from 1 species